UUAAGUUAUUAAGGGCGCACGGUGGAUGCCUUGGCACUAGAAGCCGAUGAAGGACGUUACUAACGACGAUAUGCUUUGGGGAGCUGUAAGUAAGCUUUGAUCCAGAGAUUUCCGAAUGGGGAAACCCAGCAUGAGUUAUGUCAUGUUAUCGAUAUGUGAAUACAUAGCAUAUCAGAAGGCACACCCGGAGAACUGAAACAUCUUAGUACCCGGAGGAAGAGAAAGAAAAUUCGAUUCCCUUAGUAGCGGCGAGCGAAACGGGAAGAGCCCAAACCAACAAGCUUGCUUGUUGGGGUUGUAGGACACUCUAUACGGAGUUACAAAGGACGACAUUAGACGAAUCAUCUGGAAAGAUGAAUCAAAGAAGGUAAUAAUCCUGUAGUCGAAAAUGUUGUCUCUCUUGAGUGGAUCCUGAGUACGACGGAGCACGUGAAAUUCCGUCGGAAUCUGGGAGGACCAUCUCCUAAGGCUAAAUACUCUCUAGUGACCGAUAGUGAACCAGUACCGUGAGGGAAAGGUGAAAAGCACCCCGGAAGGGGAGUGAAAUAGAACCUGAAACCGUGUGCUUACAAGUAGUCAGAGCCCGUUAAUGGGUGAUGGCGUGCCUUUUGUAGAAUGAACCGGCGAGUUACGAUUUGAUGCAAGGUUAAGCAGUAAAUGUGGAGCCGUAGCGAAAGCGAGUCUGAAUAGGGCGUUUAGUAUUUGGUCGUAGACCCGAAACCAGGUGAUCUACCCUUGGUCAGGUUGAAGUUCAGGUAACACUGAAUGGAGGACCGAACCGACUUACGUUGAAAAGUGAGCGGAUGAACUGAGGGUAGCGGAGAAAUUCCAAUCGAACCUGGAGAUAGCUGGUUCUCUCCGAAAUAGCUUUAGGGCUAGCCUCAAGUGAUGAUUAUUGGAGGUAGAGCACUGUUUGGACGAGGGGCCCCUCUCGGGUUACCGAAUUCAGACAAACUCCGAAUGCCAAUUAAUUUAACUUGGGAGUCAGAACAUGGGUGAUAAGGUCCGUGUUCGAAAGGGAAACAGCCCAGACCACCAGCUAAGGUCCCAAAAUAUAUGUUAAGUGGAAAAGGAUGUGGCGUUGCCCAGACAACUAGGAUGUUGGCUUAGAAGCAGCCAUCAUUUAAAGAGUGCGUAAUAGCUCACUAGUCGAGUGACACUGCGCCGAAAAUGUACCGGGGCUAAACAUAUUACCGAAGCUGUGGAUUGUCCUUUGGACAAUGGUAGGAGAGCGUUCUAAGGGCGUUGAAGCAUGAUCGUAAGGACAUGUGGAGCGCUUAGAAGUGAGAAUGCCGGUGUGAGUAGCGAAAGACGGGUGAGAAUCCCGUCCACCGAUUGACUAAGGUUUCCAGAGGAAGGCUCGUCCGCUCUGGGUUAGUCGGGUCCUAAGCUGAGGCCGACAGGCGUAGGCGAUGGAUAACAGGUUGAUAUUCCUGUACCACCUAUAAUCGUUUUAAUCGAUGGGGGGACGCAGUAGGAUAGGCGAAGCGUGCGAUUGGAUUGCACGUCUAAGCAGUAAGGCUGAGUAUUAGGCAAAUCCGGUACUCNUUAAGGCUGAGCUGUGAUGGGGAGAAGACAUUGUGUCUUCGAGUCGUUGAUUUCACACUGCCGAGAAAAGCCUCUAGAUAGAAAAUAGGUGCCCGUACCGCAAACCGACACAGGUAGUCAAGAUGAGAAUUCUAAGGUGAGCGAGCGAACUCUCGUUAAGGAACUCGGCAAAAUGACCCCGUAACUUCGGGAGAAGGGGUGCUCUUUAGGGUUAACGCCCAGAAGAGCCGCAGUGAAUAGGCCCAAGCGACUGUUUAUCAAAAACACAGGUCUCUGCUAAACCGUAAGGUGAUGUAUAGGGGCUGACGCCUGCCCGGUGCUGGAAGGUUAAGAGGAGUGGUUAGCUUCUGCGAAGCUACGAAUCGAAGCCCCAGUAAACGGCGGCCGUAACUAUAACGGUCCUAAGGUAGCGAAAUUCCUUGUCGGGUAAGUUCCGACCCGCACGAAAGGCGUAACGAUUUGGGCACUGUCUCAACGAGAGACUCGGUGAAAUCAUAGUACCUGUGAAGAUGCAGGUUACCCGCGACAGGACGGAAAGACCCCGUGGAGCUUUACUGUAGCCUGAUAUUGAAAUUCGGCACAGCUUGUACAGGAUAGGUAGGAGCCUUUGAAACGUGAGCGCUAGCUUACGUGGAGGCGCUGGUGGGAUACUACCCUAGCUGUGUUGGCUUUCUAACCCGCACCACUUAUCGUGGUGGGAGACAGUGUCAGGCGGGCAGUUUGACUGGGGCGGUCGCCUCCUAAAAGGUAACGGAGGCGCUCAAAGGUUCCCUCAGAAUGGUUGGAAAUCAUUCAUAGAGUGUAAAGGCAUAAGGGAGCUUGACUGCGAGACCUACAAGUCGAGCAGGGUCGAAAGACGGACUUAGUGAUCCGGUGGUUCCGCAUGGAAGGGCCAUCGCUCAACGGAUAAAAGCUACCCCGGGGAUAACAGGCUUAUCUCCCCCAAGAGUUCACAUCGACGGGGAGGUUUGGCACCUCGAUGUCGGCUCAUCGCAUCCUGGGGCUGUAGUCGGUCCCAAGGGUUGGGCUGUUCGCCCAUUAAAGCGGUACGCGAGCUGGGUUCAGAACGUCGUGAGACAGUUCGGUCCCUAUCCGUCGUGGGCGUAGGAAAUUUGAGAGGAGCUGUCCUUAGUACGAGAGGACCGGGAUGGACAUACCUCUGGUGUACCAGUUGUCGUGCCAACGGCAUAGCUGGGUAGCUAUGUGUGGACGGGAUAAGUGCUGAAAGCAUCUAAGCAUGAAGCCCCCCUCAAGAUGAGAUUUCCCAACUUCGGUUAUAAGAUCCCUCAAAGAUGAUGAGGUUAAUAGGUUCGAGGUGGAAGCAUGGUGACAUGUGGAGCUGACGAAUACUAAUCGAUCGAAGACUUAAUCAA
rnacentral:rRNA from 1 species